AACGAACGCUGGCGGCGUGCUUAACACAUGCAAGUCGAGUGCGCGCCUGUAGCAAUACAGGUGGCGCACGGCGCACGGGUGCGUAACACGUGGGUAAUCUGCCCUCUGAUGGGGAAUAACCCGCCGAAAGGCGGGCUAAUUCCGCAUAAAAUUCCUUGGACUUAUGUUCGAGGACUCAAAGGCGUAAGUCGUCGGAGGAGGAGCCCGCGCACGAUUAGCUAGUUGGUAGGGUAAUGGCCUACCAAGGCUUUGAUCGUUAGCUGGUCUGAGAGGAUGGCCAGCCACACUGGAACUGAGACACGGUCCAGACUCCUACGGGAGGCAGCAGUGGGGAAUCUUGCACAAUGGGCGAAAGCCUGAUGCAGCGACGCCGCGUGGGGGAUGAAGCAUUUCGGUGUGUAAACCCCUUUCGAUCCGGACGAAUGCCUCGCAAGAGGAGUGACGGUACGGAUAUAAGAGGCCCCGGCUAACUACGUGCCAGCAGCCGCGGUAAGACGUAGGGGGCCAGCGUUGUUCGGAAUUACUGGGUGUAAAGGGUUCGUAGGCGGUGUGGCAAGUUGGGAGUGAAAUCUCUGGGCUCAACCCAGAGACUGCUUCCAAAACUGCUGUGCUUGAGUGUGAGAGAGGCUCGUGGAAUUGCAGGUGUAGCGGUGAAAUGCGUAGAUAUCUGCAGGAACACCCGUGGCGAAAGCGGCGAGCUGGAUCACUACUGACGCUGAGGAACGAAAGCUAG
rnacentral:rRNA from 1 species